UCGAUCGACCGUUCCACUGUUGGCGAACGUCGUCUCGUCUGUCCACGAAACUUGCCAAAUAAAAUUAGCAUUUUCUCGAAUACACCGUAAAGAAUAUCGGCGACAGUUUAUUCUUUCAAUUUCGUCUCUAGACCGCAAUGUUUGUCUACUGGAAAGCCGAUAGCUGGAACGGAUCGAAUUUCUUCAAGCAGUUCAAACAAUUGAUUCAACGAAUCACGCAACGCCCACUUAAAUUUCGACUAGAUAUAUUCGCCCAUCUCGUUCUUUGAAGUACCACACGGAAAAUUUUUAAAAAGCGAAGAAGCCCUCUAUGGAUACUUCAAACAUCUGAUGUCACUAUCAUGGAUUUUCGGUUUGGUCGACUUUUUUUGUUCGAGUCCGAUGACUUAUGGCUGGCAAUGUAGGGGCAUAACAGGAUGCUCGUGCUUCUCCGAUGAGCACGAAAACGUUUACCGUACACGCUGCGACAAUCCUCUAUUAUGCACGCGUGGCAAUAGAAUGAAAGUCAUUGUUCGCAAGGAAAGACGUCAACGACAGGAAUACAAAUUACAUAUUUUCACCGAUAACAAAAUAUUAAAUCGGAAGCUUAUUUAAUGUUGAUGGAAAACUACCAAAUCGCUAAUUCAUACAAUAAAAUGCAUUCUUAAGCUAUGUUUCAUUAAAUGCACCUUCUAUAAUGUAUGUUUCAUUCAAUUAAAUAUAUUUCCUAAUUUAAACAAUUUCUAUAGUUUUCACAGAAUUACACAUAGCUAAUACUAAGUAAUUAAUUCAGUUAAAAAUAUUUCCUAAUUUGCACUAACUGUAGCUUCUAUACUAUGUAAUACAAAAUUACGUAUAGUUAAUGCUCAGUGAGUGAUUCGAUUAAAUACAUUUUCUAA
rnacentral:lncRNA from 1 species